GAAAAAUAAGCACGGUGUAAAUGUGUGUUGCCUUAAAACAUUUUAUGUUUUUUUGUUUUGUUUUGUUAGUUCAACGUAAAUUAGACUCUCCUGAUAGAAUAAGUUAAGGGGUGAGACCAAGAAAAAGGCAGAAGAGAGAUGAGGUCAGAAAAGAAGGCCUCUGCCAUCUUGGUGGAUAAGUGGUGCUUUCUCCUGUAAGGCACCCUUCCAUAUCCUUUCUCAUACCUGUAUUCUUGGCUGUAUUAGCACCAUUUUGGAGAGCACCUCUGGGAUUCACUAUCAUGCUGUCUUCAGGGUCCUUAUCCUUUGUCUUAAGAUGAUGCUAGUUCAUAAAGAAAUCCUUUCAAUUCUUCAGUUACAAAACCAUCUUUUAAAUGAGGUUCAGACCUUUUUUGAUUUGAAUUCAAUUCAGUUCUGU
rnacentral:lncRNA from 1 species